GCGUCCUUGGUGUAGCGGUAACACACUGUCUGAUCUUGGCACGGCAGACCAUGUUAUGAUAUUAGGCAGAGUCCGGGGUUCAAGCCUCCGAGGAUGCA